AUGAGAAAUAAUAUUUUUGAGAUAAAAGAGGGUCUACAGAUUUUACAAAAAUAAUUUUAAACACUUUUUUUAAGCCUAAAAAAGAAAAUGAAGAAUUAAGAAAACUUUUUGAGUUAAUAUCAUCACUGAAGUAUAAUGUGAAUGGAAUAAGAAAGAAAAAUGAUGAAUUAGAAGAAGAGGCAACUGGAUAUAAGAAACUCCUGGAAAUGACAAUAAAUAUGUUAAAUGUAUUUGGAAAUGAAGACUUUGAUUGCCAUGGAGACUUAAAAACAGAUCAACUGAAAAUGGAUAUUCUGAAUAAGAAGCUAAAACAGAAGUUUGAUGAUCUUACAGCAGAGAAGGAAGCUUUAUCUUCAAAAUGUGUCAAUUUGGCUAAAGACAAUCAAGUUCUUCAACAGGAGUUUUUAUCUAUGAAAAAAGUACAACAGGAAUGUGAAAAACUUGAGGAGGAUAAAAAGAUGUUGAAAGAAGAAAUAUUAAAUCUUAAGACACAUAUGGAAAACAAUAUGGUAGAACUUAGUAAACUACAAGAAUAUAAAUCGGAGCUAGAUGAAAAGGCAAUGCAGGCAGUAGAAAAAUUAGUAGAAAUCCACUUACAGGAACGAGCACAAUAUGAAAAACAAUUAGAGCAGUUAAACAAGGAUAAUAUGGCUUCACUAAAUAAGAAGGAACUCACACUUAAAGAUGUGGAAUGUAAAUUCUCAGAAAUGAAAACUGCUUAUGAAGAGGUUACAACCGAAUUAGAAGAAUAUAAGGAAGCCUUUGCAGCAGCAUUGAAAGAUAACAAUUCCAUGUCAAAAAAGUUAAUGAAAUCGAAUAAGAAAAUAGCAACGAUCAGCAUGGAGCUCCUUAUGGAGAAAGAGCGGAUGAAAUAUAUUCUCAGCACUCUUCCUACAAGGCGAGACCCAGAGUCACCUUGUGUUGAAAAUCUUACUAGUAUAGGACUCAACAGAAAAUAUGUUUUCCAAACACCCAUAAGAAUUCCUAUUUCAAGCCCACAGACUUCAAAUAACUUCAAGAACUCCUUGACUGCGAUGGAGCCGGACUAUGUAGAACAAAUAACUAGAGAAACAAAGAGAACUGUUGCUGUGUUGGACACUUGCUCCCAUCUACUUACUUCUCUAUAAUCCACUGCCAUGGAAUGAGUGAUUUUUCUUAGAAGCAGAGGUGGAGCCACUGAGGAAGCACAGGCGAGCCCUCCCCAGCACGUGCUCACUGGUCCCCAACAGAAGAACCGCUGCCGCCUCCAUGAGUCCCAUCAGAGCCCUAGAGCCCAAGAUGCAGCAUCCAAGGUUCCCUCCAGAAAUCCUGGUGGCUUGACUUAUUUUGUCAUGUUUCAUCUGAUAACGAAAAUAUCAUAUCAGCUGCACAGAAAAAUGGCUCAAAGUGCUUAAUGACUAGAAGAAAUCGAGGAGCAGCAAGAAGAUGUUUCAGCUGCUCUACAAGGGAGUCCCAUUUCAGGUGUGGGGCUGGGCAUGGUCACUCUGCUGGAUGUCUGGAAGGUGAAAACCAAGGACCUAGGGAAAUACCAGGUACAGCCUUUCCACCCUCAUCCAGAGCAGGACAAACAGGCCAGGUGGUAUCAGGAGCCCAGGUCUCCAGCUGGAAGGAAUGUCAACCCUGCAGUGGGAGCCCAUCACACAUCCUAGGCACAGAUGCUAAUGUAGGCACCGCGGAAGCACUGCUGACUGUUUGGUGGUUGCUGUUGGGGCAGUGAGCCUUUUGUCCAUUCUGAGAUUGGGCUGGUUUCUCCUCUUGGCCCUGCCCUACAGACCAUAAAGGAAAACAGCAAGAGGUCCCCAGCAAACAUCUACCGAUGGCCCUGGACAUCAGCCACAUUCUGAGAAACAUAUCAUGUUCUGGGAGGGCUAAGGCAUCAAGGCCUAUGACCUGGUGCACAACUUUAGACACCAUCAUCCUGGAGCAGCACCUCACCCUCACUAGCCGGGGUGUUGAUGACUUCCUCAAGGCUAAGGCCACAGUCAAGAUUUUGGACUUCAGUGAUGCAUUUUUGCUGAGCAAGGUGGGCUUCUCUGGGAUUUUAGUUCAGGAGGUAGAAUGCAGCUUGAGAUCAAGUGUCUGAUCAAAUAACUUGAACUUGAUCUGGAGAGCUCUGAGGAGCCAUAGAAGUUGUUGGAUAAAGGAGGGACAGUCGUAUAUGUUUUAGAGAUGACUGUGGAAGGCUGCCUGGAAGGAGUGAACAAGAGCCAGGAGACCAGGGAGGGAGCUUGUGGGGCAGGUCUGGAGAUGACAAGGGAGGGAUCCUGCUUGGAUGAAAGGUCUUCAGGGAAUGUCUCAGGUUACACUCAGGUGUCCUCAGAGCUAGUGUGUUCAGGGGUCUUGCCUCCAGGAUGAAAAUGAGAAGGAGUUGUCAGACAAGAACAUAUAAAUGAAGGCUGGCAUCUUCGUGAGUGCCAAUCGUUGUCCUGGUGUGGACUACUGUGGGAAUAGGGGUCUCUCCAUCCAGAGACAUGGUGGAUGGACCCUACAUCACUCCAUUCUGCCCUUCCUUUCCCUCCCAUUCUGAGGGCCUCAGUGCAUGGGCGCUGUCCAACCUCUGGUGCUGAAGCAGCCGAGAGACCCAAGCCUGCCACUCAGGAUAUGACAGCACAGCCAGUGGCCUCUACUGGAUCCUGUACAACCUCAGAAGACACCCAGACACUGGGAGUGCUGCCACCAUGUGGUGCAAGAGUUCUGAGGGACCGCAAUUCUGAAGACAUUGAAUGCUGCUUCAUGCUCCCUCCAUGGACCUGCACAGAAUUGUCCCAUGUUUCUGUUUGGGCACCACUGAGGAAGGAAGCAUGAAGGACGCAGAGCCAUUUUGCAGACCCUGGUCAGAAUGAAACAUUCCUUGGGAACUCGGGCCAUGAGAAGCAUCCUUCCUGACCACCUGACUGCGGAAACAUCCUUAUCGCAUCCUCCCGGGCGAAGGCCCAACAGCCUGACUGCAGGAACAUCCUUGCCAUAUCCUGCCGGGCAGCAAGCUCUACCGCCCAGACCCCUCCUUCCCAGUCCCAUGAUCGCCCCAGCCUGUGAGCGGCAGUUGGUGAUGGCACUAAGCUGGUUUCCUCCUCUGCAGGGUUUUGCUAGUAAUAAAGGUGUUGCUGUUGAAGCCACCAA